AUGUACGAUAAUGAUGUGACAAGUGUUCAAACAAGUGAUGUCGACACUGAUGACUUCCCGAUUAAGAUAGGACUGCAUCAGGGGUCAGCUUUGAGCCCUUAUCUUUUUGCAUUGGUGAUGGAUGAGGUCACAAGGGAUAUACAAGGAGAUAUCCCAUGGUGUAUGCUCUUUGCGGAUGAUGUGGUGCUAGUUGACGAUAGUCUGACGGGGGUAAAUAGGAAGUUAGAGUUAUGGAGACAAACCUUGGAAUUGAAAGGGUUUAGGCUUAGUAGAACUAAAACCGAGUACAUGAUGUGCGGUUUCAGUACUACUAGGUGUGAGGAGGAGGAGGUUAGCCUUGAUGGCCAGGUGGUACCUCAGAAGGACACCUUUCGGUAUUUGGGGUCAAUGCUGCAGGAGGAUGGGGGUAUUGAUGAAGAUGUGAACCAUCGAAUCAAAGCCGGAUGGAUGAAGUGGCGCCAAGCUUCUGGCAUUCUCUGUGACAAGAGAGUGCCACAAAAGCUAAAAGGCAAGUUCUACAGGACGGCGGUUCGACCCGCAAUGUUGUAUGGCUGA
rnacentral:rRNA from 1 species